GCAUAUCAAUAAGCGGAGGAAAAGAAACUAACAAGGAUUCCCCUAGUAACGGCGAGUGAAGCGGGAUGAGCUCAAAUUUGAAAUCUGGCAGCCUCCGGUUGUCCGAGUUGUAAACUAGAGAAGCGUUUUCCGUGCCGGCCUGUGUACAAGUCCCUUGGAAUAGGGCGUCAUAGAGGGUGAGAAUCCCGUCCUUGACACAGACCACCGGUGCUAUGUGAUACGCUCUCGACGAGUCGAGUUGUUUGGGAAUGCAGCUCAAAUUGGGUGGUAAAUUCCAUCUAAGGCUAAAUAUUGGCGAGAGACCGAUAGCGAACAAGUACCGUGAGGGAAAGAUGAAAAGCACUUUGGAAAGAGAGUUAAACAGUACGUGAAAUUGUUGAAAGGGAAACGAUUGAAGUCAGUCAUGCGUGCUCGGACUCAGCUGGGUUCGUCCCAGUCUAUUUCCGGGUGCCGCAGGUCAGCAUCAGUUUCGGGCGGUGGAAAACGGGCGGGGGAAGGUGGCAUCUCCGGAUGUGUUAUAGCCCCCGUUUGGAUGCAUCGCGUGGGACUGAGGAACGCAGCGCGCCCUUCACGGGCCGGUCUCCGGACACGAACGCGCUUAGGAUGCUGGC
rnacentral:rRNA from 1 species